UCUCAGUACGAGCUGACUUAAAGUGAAACCGCAAAAGGCUCAGUAAACCGGUCAUAGUUUACCGGAUAUAUGCCACUCACGUGGAUAACUGUGGUAAUUCUAGAGCUAAUACAUGCAACCAAGUCCCGACCAGCGAUGGAAAGGACGCUUUUAUUGGAUCAAAACCAUUCGCCCGGCUCGCCCGGGCGUCUGCUUGAUGACUCUAGAUAACACCACAGAUCGCACGGUCACAGUACCGGCGACGUAUCCGUCAAAUGUCUGACUUAUCAGCUGUCGAUGGUAGACUCUGUGUCUACCAUGGCGCUCACGGGUAACGGGGAAUCAGGGUUCGAUUCCGGAGAGGGAGCCUGAGAAACGGCUACCACAUCCAAGGAAGGCAGCAGGCACGCAAAUUACCCACUCCCGGCACGGGGAGGUAGUGACAAAAAAUAACGAUACGGGACUCAUCCGAGGCCCCGUAAUCGGAAUGAGAACACCCUAAAUCCUUUAACGAGGAUCUAUUGGAGGGCAAGUCUGGUGCCAGCAGCCGCGGUAAU
rnacentral:rRNA from 1 species